rnacentral:rRNA from 1 species
AGAGUUUGAUCAUGGCUCAGAACGAACGCUGGCGGCGCGCCUAAUACAUGCAAGUCGAGCGAGAAGACGUAGCAAUACGUUGGUACAGCGGCGAACGGGUGAGGAAUACAUGGGUAACCUACCCUCGAGUGGGGAAUAACUAGCCGAAAGGUUAGCUAAUACCGCAUACGAUUCCCGGAUUGCGGUUCGGGAAAGAAAGCUAUCCCGUGGGGAUGGCGCUCCUGGAUGGGCUCAUGUCCUAUCAGCUGGUUGGUGAGGUAACGGCUCACCAAGGCUUCGACGGGUAGCUGGUCUGAGAGGACGAUCAGCCACACUGGCACUGCGACACGGGCCAGACUCCUACGGGAGGCAGCAGUAAGGAAUAUUGCGCAAUGGGCGACAGCCUGACGCAGCGACGCCGCGUGGGGGAUGAAGGUCUUCGGAUUGUAAACCCCUUUCGGGAGGGAAGAGGGAAUGGGGCAACCCAUUCGGACGGUACCUCCAGAAGCAGCCACGGCUAACUUCGUGCCAGCAGCCGCGGUAAUACGAAGGUGGCAAGUGUUGUUCGGAUUCACUGGGCGUACAGGGAGCGUAGGCGGUUGGGUAAGCCCUCCGUGAAAUCUCCGGGCCUAACCCGGAAAGGGCAGAGGGGACUGCUUGGCUUGAGGACGGGAGAGGAGCGCGGAAUUCCCGGUGUAGCGGUGAAAUGCGUAGAGAUCGGGAGGAAGGCCGGUGGCGAAGGCGGCGCUCUGGAACGUUUCUGACGCUGAGGCUCGAAAGCGUGGGGAGCAAACAGGAUUAGAUACCCUAGUAGUCC